ACAGCCACAUCAUGUUGAAACACUGAUUCCCAUACCAUCACCAAAGUUAAGCAAUAUUAAGCCUGGUCAGUACCUAGAUGUGUGACUGCUUGAGAAUACCAGGUGCUAUA